UUUUUUUUAGUCCUGCAGCAGCAGUCUUUGGCUCAUGUGUAGAUUAUUUCUCGUCAAUCCCCUCUUUCCGCAUCCAUGGGUCAUAUUUUACUCUCAGCGUCCACAAGAGAGCACCCUUUCAUAAAUGAGACCAUCUGCGGCCAGGACGAGAGCUGACCGGGUUUUCUGCGGAAGCAAUGUCCUAGUUCUUCUAGAUCGGUGGCGGAUAGUUUGUGUGUGCAUUUCUUCACCACUAUAUCAACUCGGCCAUGAGUCUACCAUGCAUCAUUUACCAGGGGCUCUGGAGAGGCUGCGAUACAGAGCAGAGGAGAAAAGGGAAAGAAAGAAAUUCUCUGUUCACGCAGGUUGGAAGGCUGAAAGGAGCAACAGUGCUAUCCAGAACCAGAGAAUGAGAAUAAGGAGAGGAGCUGACAGAGGUGGAGACACCAAGAGACAAGCAUGUGCUGCAAAAGCAGCAUGAAGGGAGAAGCUUCUUGACAGCCACCCUUCUACUGAGCUCAUUCCUGAUGAUGCUUCAGUGAACAGUAGAUGGAUCAACUGAAGGGCCAGAAGCAUCUAUCAGGUCCUGUGUCAGGUCUGUGCUGGAUCCCCCCCCCCCUGUUUCUUAAAGACAUGACUUUUGGACACUGGUCAUCUGAUGCCACUUCUUUUUUGUCAUUCACUUGUCCAGCUUCCUCAAAUCUGAAGGAAACACUGCACACCAUGCUGAGAUAUGUCAAGUUUGACUCUUUGGGAAUCACCUUGUUGAUGCAAAAUUAAUGUCUUAUGUCUUUCAAACUGUGCUAUCCCUGGUAUUUUAUAAUAGAUUC